GCAUUCCGAAUAUAUUCAUGAGUAUGAAAUUAUGUCAAACUCAAACACAUAUUCGUAUCAAUGAUGACUCCGAUGAUGAAGCAUUAGAAACUUUUUCUAAUCUCCUUACUGCUUUUGGCCAAAAGACUUUUCUCAAGUCAUCUAGAAAUGAGAAUUCACAGAAUGCGAUCUCCUCUUACUAGGAGUGAUCGAUUCCAUGUUGACCUACUCAUAACCUUC
rnacentral:lncRNA from 1 species